UUAAUAUUUAUUUAUUAAAAUUUAUUUGUUUAGAAAUUUUAAUUUUAAAAAUAAUUUUAAGGUUAUUUUUACUGUUUAAGUAUUGUAUAAAGAAAAAAUAAUUUUUAUAAUAGUUUAUUUGUAUUGUAUAAGAAAAUUGAAAUAAUUUGAAAAAUUUUUAUUUUUAAAGAAAAAUUUAUUUUUUGUACCUUGUGUAUCAGGGUUAAUUAAUUAAAUUAUAAAAUUUUAUAUUUCUCGAUUUUAAGAGAUCUAAUAAAUUAAUUUAUUUAUUGUAGAAUAAAUAUUAAUAAUAAUUUAUUAGAAAUAAAACGUUAUUCGUUCUUAAAUAUAUCUAGUUUUUUAAGAAAAAAAUUUAAUUUUAAUAUAAAAAAUUAUUGAUUUAAUUUUUUUAAUUCGAUAAAUUUUUUAUAUAAAUAUUUUAAGGGAUGAGCUUUAAAAUAAAUAAUUAUAUUUUAAAAAUAUUUUUUUAAAAAAGUAAGCUUAUAAAUAGUUAUCUUUAAAAAUUAUGUUAUAAUUUAUUAAAAAUAUAAAAUAUUUAGUUGAAAAUUAAUUUUUUAUUAAAAUAUUUAUUGUAAUAAAACAAAUAAAGAAAUAAUGAUUAAAUUAGUAAAUAUUAUAGUUUGUUUAAUAAAAUAAAAUUUGAAAGGUUUAUUUAAAUUAAUUCGACAAAUUUAUAUACUCACCUGUUUAUCAAAAACAUGUCUUUUUAGAUAAUUUUUAAAAAGUCUAACCUGCCCACUGAGAAUUUUAAAUUAAAGGGCCGCGGUAUUUUGACCGUGCAAAGGUAGCAUAAUCAUUAGUCUUUUAAUUGAAGGCUCGUAUGAAUGGUUGAAUGAAGUAUAUGUUGUAUCUAAAAAAUUUAUAUUUGAAUUUUAUAUUUUAAUUAAAAUGUUAAAAUGAGAUUAAAAGACGAGAAGACCCUAUAAAUCUUUAUAAUUUUCUGAAUUUAAUUUAUACAGAAAACUUAAAAUUUUAUUUCUUAAAAUUAUUUUAUUGGGGUGAUAUUAAGAUUUAAUUAACUCUUAAAAAAUUUAAACAUUUAUAUAUGGUUUAUUGAUCCAUUUUUAUGAUUAAAAAAUUAAGUUACUUUAGGGAUAACAGCGUAAUUUUUUUAGAGAGUUCAUAUCGAUAAAAAAGAUUGCGACCUCGAUGUUGGACUAAGAAUUAUUUUAGGUGUAGAAGUUUAAAAUUUAGGUCUGUUCGACCUUUGAAUUCUUACAUGAUCUGAGUUCAGACCGGCGUAAGCCAGGUUGGUUUCUAUCUUUAAUAAAUUAAAAUAUUUUAGUACGAAAGGACCAAAUAUUUAAAUUGUAAUUUUAAAAAUAAUGAGAAAAAUUAAUUUAAAUUAAAAAUUUUAAAAUAUUUUUGAAUAAAAUAG
rnacentral:rRNA from 1 species